GCGAGCUGGAGCCUGGCUUCCGCGGCCCUGGGACACUGCAGAGCCUUCUGGGAAUUUCAGCAACCGGAAGGGGAGGUCGGCGCCUGCGCGGCACCGUGGCUUCCCCAGCGGCCUUGCUGAAAAGCUUUGAAGGUAUCACUGCCAAAAAGGUGACUAGAAAAUCACAAGGCUUAAGAGAAACAACGUAAGUGACAUCACUUUAAAAGAAAAGAGGUCACUCGGAAAGAAAUGUUUCUGUUGAGUGCAAAAGCCGGAACCCUAAGAUCUACGGACUAGACAGAGACUGGCCACCCCAUCCGGGAUUAAGGAAAGCUCUGCCUGUGCCACCAUGCCUGGCCUGUGAAUACAUUUGAUGCCUACAUGAACCAUCAUGCUCCCAGCACCGGCCUGGAGCUCACCACCCGAG